UACGUAGGGGGCCAGCGUUGCUCGGAAUUACUGGGCGUAAAGGGUUCGUAGGCGGUGCGGCAAGUUGGGAGUGAAAUCUCUGGGCUUAACUCAGGGGCUGCUUUCAAAACUGCCGCGCUCGAGUGCGAGAGAGGUCAGUGGAAUUGCAGGUGUAGCGGUGAAAUGCGUAGAUAUCUGCAGGAACACCCGUGGCGAAGGCGGGUCUCUGGGCCGAUACUGACGCUGAGGAGCGAAAGCGUGGGGAGCGAACAGG
rnacentral:rRNA from 1 species